rnacentral:lncRNA from 1 species
CACAUCCCGACUGACCCUCUAACUGCAGGGUGGGUGUUCACCAGGCAGAGAAAACAAAGCAAGGGCCAGUUCUCAAGAGUCGAGGAAUGGAAUUAUCAGCUGUCAAGGCAAAGCCACAAAGGGUCUGAGAGACAGAGACAAUCUCCCACACACACCCAAGGCAUGCAACAAUGCCACAUUUGGAUACACUGGGACUUUCCCACAGACGGAAUCAGAGGGGGGUCGCUCCUACAUGCACCAGCUUGGAAACCCAGCUCCGGCCCUCUGCCGCAGCCCGAUCGCACCACCGUCCCCGCUUCCCACCCCGAGGCCCGGUGCUUACUCGAACAUGGAUGCGGCGCCCCGGCUGCAGGGCAGGACCCGGCCGGCUGCUCUGAGAUGGGCCUCCCGGGCCUCGCCUGCCUCGGCCGCCGCCUCCACCGGACCCUGCCACCCGCACAAAAGGCCGGAGCCGCCGGAGGCCGCCUCGGCGUCAGCGACACCCCCUUCCUGCUCCCGCCCCGCGCGUCACGGCGCCGCCCCCGCCGGGAGGGGGACAUGGACGCGAGCGCGGGCCUAGGCCUAGGAUGGCUGGGGAAAGAGUCCGGCUGGGAGACAGAAGAAAAUUUUUAUUUAAAAUGAGCAGCCUGGGCGGGGCGUGAUAGCGCACGCCUCACAUCCCAGAGGCUGAGACAGGAGGAUUGGCAUGAGUUCGAGGCCAGCUUGGGCUACAUAAUGAAUUCCAGGCCACUGGAAUGCAGAGUGAGAAUUUGUCUUCAAAACAAAUGAGCAAACAAGUUUAAACACCCUGGGCUUCUCCCCUGGACCCAGAAGAGUCUCUGAGAAGUGGGAUGGAGGUGGGUGACAGGCUGAUGCUGGGAAGAACUGGCCUGGGGCGGAAGUCUGGGGGUGGGGUCGGGGAACCACAGCUGGAGGGUGGAAAGCCUCUUCCCGUUCUCCCCACCCAGCCUCAGAACCUCAGUUCCUGCCUUAGAAGCGUUCACUUUUCCGCGCGCGCGUGUGUAUGGAGACUUCCCCAGCCUAAUCGUGCAGACCACGUCAGAUUCCAGCCCACCCGGCUCCUAGCAGUGCUGUGUGCGCUUGGGCAAGUCCCUCAGGCCUGGGGAGCCCCCUGCUCCCAGGCAAGGGGUUUCCCCCAGAACAGCACAGGGGCAGGGCUCAUCAGCGUUUUUGAUACUGGGAAGCCUGCCGAGCCUCAGGACGGGAAAUGACCAUACAUUGCAGUGUAGGACGAGUUCUUGUGCCAGCCAGCCCUGCACCCACCUCUGCAAGCCAGGCGUGGUUGUCGUCCUUGUUGGAGAACACAAUGUGAACGAGCCUCUGGCUUUGGGACCCAGCCCAGGGAUUUCUCCCCACCCCUCUUCGGCCUUCAGCCUCUUGUCCAGCUACAGUAGGCCCAGUCCCACCUUGUUUGGUUUCCAUUCCUAUCCCGCUCUGUUACCACUUACAGCCAGAGCUCUAGCCUGUGAAUCGCCAAGUCUGGCCAGAGGCCUCUUGGCUUCAAGCCCUACCCUGGCUCCACCUCAUUCCUUGUUUUAAAAAAAAAAGUGCUCAUCUUGGUGUCCAGAGCCCUCCUGAUUGGGCCCCUUCCACCUGUCUGUCUAACUGGUUCCUCCUUAGCCUCCUGGUUGAUUAUCCCAGGUGUCAAUCUACCCCCCUGCUCAUCCCACCUGCCUCCGGCCUCAGGACCUUUGCACUGCUAUCCCUUCCACAGGAGGAAGCUCGCUCUUCUUGCAUGGCUGCCUUCCAUCUUUCUGUGUUGCUCUUUUUAUACGUCCGUAGCUUGUUUACUCUUAGAAAGACAUUUACUUCGGUGGUGAGGGCUUGGGUGGGUUGGAUAUCAUUAUAUAGCCUGGGCUGGCCUCAAACCUCAGUAUGUAGCUGAGUCAGGGCUCGAAUUUAUGAACUUGCCUCAGCCUCCUAAAUGCUGGGAUUACAGGCAGGAACCACCAACCGCACAAAUUUUUACAUUUUUACUUAGUGAAUAUUCAUUUCAAAUAAAAGUGUAUAAUGGCCAUCUGUGUCCUCACCAUAAGACAUAAGAGGUUCAGUAUGCAUAAAAAGCCUCAUUAAUUUCGUUAAAGGUUCUGAAUUGUUUCUAAGGACAAUGGAAAGUCAUUAAAGUAUUUAAGUGGGAGAACAAAGCUGGGAAGAGCUGCGUGAGGAUCGAGUUUCCUCCAGUUGACACCGCCAUCGCCAUCAUGAAGUAUGGUUGCCUCGGUGACCUUCAAAGACCUUGGCCCACACUCAAGGCCAAAGAACACACUGAAAAAAUACCAACAGUCAGGCAAGUGGUGCAUAGCCCUGGCUGUUCUGGAACUUGCUUCGUAGACCAGGCUGGCCUCAAAUCCAGAGAUCUGCCUCUUGACCAAAUGCUGGGAUAAAAGGCAUGUGCCACCACCAACCACCCAGCUGAGAGACCAUCAUAAAGGGGCAGGCCUGGAAGCAGGAGCUCAGGGGAAUGAAGGUUCCUGGCAAGAAUUGUUGAUAAGAUGAAGCUUGCGUAAAACAAUAGACUGAGCGUGGAGUCCAGAAUGGAAGCAGAAGUCGUCGGUCCAGAGACACCAAAGGCAAAAUGAGAUAACGAGAAAAUAAAGAAGACCCGGGAUGGAACAGACGAGGCGAAUGGGCAAGCUAAGGUGAGCAGCUAAGAAGAACUGGAUCAACACGUGAUUAACAACUCAAGCGGGGAAGACAGGCCACCACAAUGAAAUGGAACCGGGGGACUUGAACUCUUGGUAGCAGCAGGAGACUGGCAGAGCUUGAUGAUACACGUUAGAAAUGGCACAGUGUCGUAAGCCUACUCAGAAGAAUGGCCCUCGCCCCUCACCUGGGCAUUGUGGUAGAGCUGACCCUGGUGGCAUGGGGGUAAGAGAACCUGCUCCAAGGGUGUGAGCUCAGGCCAGCUGGUCUUGUCCCACUGGAGACAUGGUCAGGCCCCUCGCC